rnacentral:pre_miRNA from 1 species
CAUGUACUGGGGGGUCCCUCAGCCCAGAUUGUGAGAGGGCACAGGCCAGGGCUAGGGACCCCAUCAGUGCAUG